rnacentral:pre_miRNA from 1 species
AGUGGAAUUGCUGGGUCAUAUGGUAACUCUCUGUUAAACUUUUGAGGAACUAUCAGGCUGUUUUCCAAAGUGGCUGCACCAUUUUGCAUUCCCACCAGCAGU